UGGUGUUGGACUCAAGCCUAUCUUCAUUGGGGAAUCUACAGGAUAGUUCCGCGUUCCCAAAAUGGUCAGGGCCAACCCCGGCUGAAGAAAUGUCAAGGGGAGCCGGGGGAUGCAGCACAAAACGCGAAAUCACUAUAGAUUUCAAAGGAUUCGUAGGUUGCUUCAGGCCUGCCUAGACGGCAUGGGGAAGCUGUCCACACCGUCUCCAACUUCAGAGGAAGGAGGACUCCAACUUGCCGUGAACUCUUGGAGCACAAACUGUGGCCUUUCUGGUUGGGUCCACCCUUGGACUUUCAUUCCUGGAGCCACAUGGCAGUAGGAUAGAUGAUUGAUGCUGCCUGGGCAUUGGUUUCCACUCUGGCCUUGUCUUUUCCUGACUUCCAUGCUCCUUGUCGAUCUGGGGUUUCCUAGGUCUUGCUCAAGGUCUUCCACAGAAAAUGUUUCCCAGUUCAUGGAGGACAACCCUCAUGGGGGUCCAUUGCAUGAGUGUUUUCUUCUAAACACUGUCACAUUUUAAUGACUGGGCAGCUGUGA